rnacentral:lncRNA from 1 species
CAGGGAAUUUUGAUAAAUGGGCAGUUUCCAGGGCCACAGAUUGACUGUGUCACCAAUGAUAACUUGAUUAUCAGUGUUUACAACUACUUGAAUGAGCCCUUUCUCCUUUCUUGGUAAAGCAUUGCUCUCCCCACCCCCACCCUCCGGCUGCGUUCUAUCUAGUUAAAGAACAUUUUGUAUUAACUGUAAAAUGUGGCAGAUCUAUUCAAUUCCCAUUAUGUUUUUGUAAUGGCAAUGGAGUUGAGUUGGGGUAUUUAGAUUUGAGAUUUAGCUUGGAAUAUCAAUGUCAUUUGACAGAGAAAAAGGGUUCUUCUGGUAUGAAUUUUUUCUGAAGAAUAUUAGUAAGAGAUGCAGCUUGUGCCAUUUUGAGCCUCAAGGGAUUUGGUUGAAGCAACUUUUCUUCUAAAGAGCAUGUUUGGCCAAGCCUAAAAUAAGUAAUUUUACUUUUUAAGAAAAAUUGAACUUUUGAAGAAGUUACUGUUGUCAAAAUGAGUACUUUUACUCUCUUGGGCUUAGCCAAACAUGCUUUCUGUCGGCCCUAAUGUUAGGGCACAAACAUAAGGUUUAAGGAUUAUCACUGUGCUGUAUGCACAUGCUAGAUCUCUGACAUCCACCACAUAAUGGGUUUUUAUAUUUGUCAUUAAGCUUAUAUGUAAAUUAAUCCAUGUGAGACACGUGAAGUAGCAUGCUAAUGUAGGGCCAUAUAUAGCUAUGUAUCAUUUAUUAGUUCAACAUCAAGUUGCAUUGUUUAGGAAUAUAAUAAAUAAAACAAACUUUUUCUUUUAACGAGGUGAAAUUCAUAGUCAUUGAGUUUCAAUAUGCAAGACAUCAAUUACAGUUCAGUGUUUAUGGUGCCAUCACACUGGAGAAUUCAUAGUUUUCUUGGCUUAGAAAGACAAAUAAAAUACAUUUUAACUUAUAUUUUUCUCCAGUUGAAAGUGCCAGAAAGAGUUGUGCUCGCACACCAUAAGUUAUUCCUCUGUGAACUUGAGCUUGAUUCUUAAUGUAGUUGUGAGGAUGCAAUUGCAAAUUAGAGUACAUUGUUGUGUUACAAAUCCUGCAUAAACAACUAGAUUAAAAUCUGUGGAGCAAAGAGCAUGGAAGGAUGUUAUAAUCAAUGUUUGAAUCACGUUGAGGCCUCUGGCUAUAUAUAGUUGAUUUUCAAAUCACCAUUGUUUUUUAGGAAUGGCUUACAGCAAAGGAGGAACUCAUGGCAGGAUGGAGUUUAUGGUACUACCUGUCCGAUUCCACGGAGGAAAAACUUCACUUACGUCCUUCAAGCGAAGGACCAGAUAGGCACCUAUUUCUACUUUCCAUCACUUGCACUCCAUAAGGCUGCAGGAGGAUAUGGUAGCAUCAAAAUUUCCAGCCGUCCUCGAAUUCCAGUGCCUUUCCCUCCUCCUGGGGGGGAUUAUGCCAUCCUUGCUGGGGAUUGGUACAAGAGAAGUCAAAGGGUUAGCAUAUUGUCGAAAAUUAAGUGCAUGUUUGGUAUAUGAUAUUGAGUAGGAUAGAGAGUAUGAUAAACAAGAUUUUAGCUUAAUUUUUCUCACCAAAUGUUCCCUAAAGAUUUCACAGCAAUUUGAUCUCAUAAACGUGUCAUCUAAUUUGCUGUCUGCUGCUUUUGUUAUUACAGCAACUGAAGUAUUUCUUGGAUACCGGUCACAAUCUUCCCUUCCCCGAUGGCCUUCUGAUCAAUGGUCGAGGGUGGAAUGGAUACACAUUUACAGUUGAUCAAGGUAACACGAAUUUCUUAAUCAAGUAAUCUGGUUAGAAUUUUUAUUAUUAUAAGCUUGUGUUUCUUGCCUGCUUUCCUUUCCUCAUCCACACAAUAUCUUUCUGCAGGCAAAACCUACAGGUUCAGGAUAUCGAAUGUCGGACUUACAACUUCCAUUAACUUGAGAAUCCAGGGACACUCAAUGAAACUAGUUGAGGUAGAAGGAUCUCACACGCUUCAGAAUAUGUACUCUUCCCUCGACAUCCAUUUAGGGCAGUCUUAUUCAGUCUUGGUCACAGCCAACCAGCCAGCAAAGGACUAUUACAUUGUAGUUUCCUCGCGCUUCACCUCUAAAGUGCUCACCACUACUGCCGUUCUCCAUUACAGCAACUCAUUUACCAAAGUUUCCGGUCCUCCCCCUGGUGGACCAACAACUGAGAUUGCUUCGUCUUUGAACCAGGCCAGAUCAAUACGGUAAUUCAAAUAGCCUGUAAAUUCUUUUAGUUGAUACUAAUAAAGCAGGGAUCAUUUCUAAUUUUACUUAAUUUGUUGACUCUGAAAUCAGUUGGAAUCUGACAGCCAGUGGACCUAGACCUAAUCCUCAAGGCUCAUACCACUAUGGAAUGAUCAAGCCCUCUAGGACCAUUAUUCUUGCUAACUCUGCUCCAUAUAUAAAUGGCAAACUAAGAUAUGCUGUCAACGGUGUAUCAUAUGUUUCCCCAGACACUCCCUUAAAGUUGGCCGACUACUUUAAGAUUGGAGGAGUUUUCAGCAUUGGAAGCAUCCCUGACAGACCUCCAUGGGGAAAUGGAGGAUAUCUUGCAACCUCUCUUAUGCAUGCUGAUUACCGAUCUUUUGCUGAGAUUGUGUUCCAAAAUUGGGAGGAUACUGUCCAGUCUUGGCACAUUGAUGGAUAUUCUUUCUUCGUUGUUGGGUAAGUAAAUUUGUGAUUUUGAAGAACGAGGUAUUCACUCAUUCUUUCUUGAUGAUUUAUUAGUUUGCUGAUACUGUGAAUGAACAGAAUGGAUGGUGGACAGUGGACUCCUGCGAGUAGGUCAAGAUACAAUUUGAGAGACACAGUUGCCCGUUGUACGACUCAGGUAUACAUUAAGACAAGACUUGUUUAAAAACAACAAAGCAAAUCUUGGUUCUUUCAGUUUUCUUUUACUAAGAAUUUUGUUCUAAUCACAGGUGUAUCCAAAAUCUUGGACUGCAAUAUACAUAGCUUUGGACAAUGUGGGAAUGUGGAACAUAAGGUCUGAGAACUGGGCAAGGCAGUACUUGGGUCAGCAAUUCUACUUAAGGGUUUACACCCCGUCGACUUCAUGGAGGGACGAAUAUCCUAUUCCGAGGAAUGCUCUUCUUUGUGGCCGAGCAAGAGGGCACCACACUCGACCCCUCUGAUGGCCUAAAAUCUGUCACGAGAGGGUGACCGAAUUCACAGGAAGGGAAAUGCACAACCAUAACUUAAGCAGCUCAACUCGAGCUAUGAGUUAUAUUGAUUUAUUAGAG